rnacentral:rRNA from 1 species
AACUGCACAAUGUGGGAAACCACGAUGCGGGGAACCCAAGUGCCAGCGCUAUGCGUUGGCUGUCCUCCAGUGUUCGUAACUGGGGAAGAAAGUGCUGGGUAAGACGGGUGCCAGCCGCCGCGGUAAUACCCGCAGCACAAGUGGUGGUCAUUAUUAUUGGGCCUAAAGCGUCCGUAGCUGGCCUGUUAGAUGCCUGGGUAAAUCGAUGCGCUCAACGUAUCGAACUCCGGGUAGACCGGCAGGCUUGGGACCGGGAGAGGCGUGAGCUACUCGGGGGGUAGGGGUAAAAUCCUGUAAUCCUCCGGGGAGGACCAGUGGCGAAGGCGUCACGCUAGAACGGCUCCGACAGUGAGGGACGAAGCCCUGGGGCGCAAACCGGAUUAGAUACCCGGGUAGUCCAGGGUGUAAACGCUGCAGACUUGGUGUCGGUGAUCCUACGAGGGUUGCCGGUGCCGUAGAGAAGUUGUUUAGUCUACCGCCUGGGGAGUACGGUCGCAAGACUGAAACUUAA